CCGUGCCCAUGAAAAAAUCGCAAAGCCAACUAACUCAAACUAAAAAACUGAAGCCCUAUUUUAUCUACAAUCUUCUCUUCCGUUCUGCCUCUCUCAAUACCCUGAACUUGAGUGAAGUUUCCAAUAUUUUGGUCUUCAGUGAAAUGGCAGGAGCAAAGCCACAACCAGCAGGGAUAUCGAAGUCGUUGAACAAAGCCACAAACCUUCGGUAAAUGCUACGUCUGUACGUCGUCUUGCCUUCUCCAUCUGUGCGCCCAACUCUCCCUUGAAAAAGAGGGUGAAAGACAAGUAUUUGGCUUUGUUUGGGGCUAGUCAUCGGCUAUGGUGAGAAGAAAGUUCAAGCUGUUUUAAUUUCGAGGAAGAAGGGGGGAGAUUACUGAUACUUUUCUUCAUUCAUCUUGGUUAUUGGUUCUAUGCAAAUAUAGCUUGACAAUCAAAUUAGUUUCUUAGGGUUGUAAAUUUCUACUACUAAGGUAUGGUACUAGCUCUAAAAUGUUUGGGUAUGCAUAAGCAUUUGUGAUUUUGUUUUAAAGAAAUUUUUUGAUUUAUAUAUAUUACUGAAUAUAUUUUUACUUCAUGAGUUUGAGAAGUAUAUAUUUGUAUGUAUAUAUUACUGAAAUAUGGGUAUAAUCACAUCUAAUUUGGGAAUAAGGGCUCUUGAAUUGAUAGAUUUCAAUAAAAUUGUGACCUAUAGUUUAGUUUGAAUAGGAAUGGCUGAAUAUCUGGUUCUUUGUUUUUGACAUCAUCGUAUCUUUUUUAUUUAUUUGAUCUUCAUUGGCUUAUUGGGUUACGGCUAGUAUGCUAUCAUUAGGCAUGAUUUAAUCUCACUAGGGAAAUGCUUUUAUUGUUGGUUUCAUUUGUAUCUUUUGUUGCUGGUUGUAGCUAAUAUAUUAAUGUAUAGUGGUUACUCUGGUAUUUGGUAAAGAAAAUAUGUAUAUAUAUUAGAUGGUAAACUUCACUUAAUAUAAAGAUUAGGUUGUGAAACUUAGUUUCUCUUCAAGUUUGAAACUAGAAUCAUGUUUGAACCAUUCUCUUUCUCCACUUCAUAUUAUGUUGUUAGUAUAACAAAUAAAGACAACCAAAGGCAACUAUUAGCAUUCUUACUUUGUAUUUAUUCAUGUGUGUUCUUGUGGUUUAAUUAUUUGAGUUGAUCCAACUGAAAAAUUGACAAUGAUAGUCAUUGAAAUGCCUCAUUAUGUUUCUUUUUCCUCUUUUACUUUAAUUUAACAAAUUAAACUCUUAAACAAUUAUAUGUGAAUUUAUGUAAGUAUAUAUGUGUGGUCAACAAUUGUGGCCCUUUUUUGAUAAUCAUACGACAUAACAAGUUGUAUGCUAGUGAAGAAAUGUAUGGGAAUGGCUGCUCAGAUCAGUAGCUAGAUCAACUCGUAAGCUUUUGUCAUAUUGAUCAUGUGGCUUAUUGUCUCCACACUUGGUCAGAGCCAACUAAGUUGCAAGUCUAGUAGUAACAACAACAACAACACUUCAUCUCGAGAUGACUUUGGCUUUCACUACAGUACUACUAGUACUAGCAAGGGAUCAGGUGAUACAUUUAUAUUUAUAUAUAUAUUAGUAAUAGUAGGUGAAGACAGACUUAGAUGCUUUAGUAUGUAGACACAAAUUGACAAACUCACGUGAAAAGGCUUGAAAUCUUGAUCAUAUAUCACUGAUUAUUACUUAGAAGCUUGGUAAGUAUAUUUUUGCACUAUAUGCAUAUAAAUUAAAUUGUUAUUGAUCAAACUUAUAUUAUUUUCUGCUGGUGAAUGGUUUAUUUAGGAUUUGGCUUAGUCAUUAGAAUAUGGAAGCCACAUAAGUUUAUUAUAUCUAUUAUGAAAUUGUGUUGAUGUAGAUAUUUUAUGUUUUAGAAUGAAAACAAACAGGAACAUAUAUAAUUAUAAGUAUGAAUCUUGUUAUUACUCUAAUAUUAGUUUUGCUUUCUGUUUUAGUUUUAAUGUGUUAUUAUAAAGAAAAAAUCACCCAUUGCUUUUACUUGUUUACUUUAGAGUAUAUUUUUUAUGUGUAUUGGAAAUUGUAGAACUAAAUUGAUUGAACUCAAUUGUAUGAAAUCUAUUUCACCAGUUAAAGCAUGUGUUCUUUGUUAUCUUUUUCUUCAUUUUUUUUAGAAUCAAUUGGUCAAUUUAAUCCUUGUAACCAAUUCAAUAUGCUUGCAGUAAAACACUUGAGAUUCAUUUGAAUUUUGUCAUUUGAAUUUUUCUAUAAAUAGAAACCAAUUAGAAUUUUUUUUAAGAACUAGACUUCACACCUAAAUAAAUUGUUUUACAAAAAUUCUAAAUUGGAGAGUUUGAUUUUGAAGUUGAUACUUUGUUCUAUUAUUGGUUUUCUAGAUAAAGGUGGUAUCUAUUAAUCACAGGAUUGUGCCAUCAACAACAAAAGGGGUAGUUGUAAUUUUGGAUACUAUGAAUAAUUGUUGCAUGUAAUUGAAUUUUGUUAGCUCUUAUUUGUGUUUUUACGAGAGAGAGAGAGAGAGAGAGGUGUUUAUAUGUGAAUGGAUUGUUGAUAAAGGCAACUAUUGUUAAGAAACUUAUGAAUUUUUUUUGCCAUCGUCUUGGAUUGGAUAUUCAUUUAUGCUAGUUUUAUAUAAUUUUGAUUUAUUGAUAUUUUUUUAUUUGCGGUAUGAUAUUUCGCUAAUAACUGUCAACGUAGAGAGCAAUUAUGUCAGCUAAAAACUGUUGGCAUAGAAACAAUUAUGACAGUUAAAAAUUGUGGGGGUAGAGAGCAAUUAUGACAGUUAAUAAUUGUUGGCAUAGAGAGCAAUUACGACAGUUAAAAACUGUCGGCGAGAGAGCAAUUACGAUAGUUGAAAACUGUCGGCGUACUUACCUCUACGCCAGUAUAGGCAAAUACGACAGUUAGCCAACUAUCGUCGUUUCUCAAUGGUGACAGUUAAAAACUGUCGGGAAAGCCCAAUUUUGUAGUAGUGAGAAGGCUAGUGCUUUAAAAUAAAAAUACAAGGCUGCGUCCAAGGCUAACCUGGAUGAGGCGGUCAAGCUUCAAGAUGACCUGGUCGCGAGUCAAAAAGAGGCCAAUCAGCAAGAGGACAAGGUGAAACAACUCGAGGAGAUUAAUGCAAGCAACUUGGAGAGGUUUCAAGGUGCAACCUUCACAUACUUUUACAUCUUUUGGAAGAACAAUCAAGGUGCAAACUUUGAUUAUCUUCCUGAGCAGAUAAGGGAGUCUGAGCUUGCUCAAUGCGCUGCUCGAUUGGAGGAGGAGAAAAAUGCCGUUGCAUCUCCUGAAAUUUCUUUGGCUACGGGGAUUGAUGGACAGGAGGAGACUGGAGCAAAUGUCGACCAGCAGCCCCAUCAAGACCCUCCUGCUUAGUGAAUUUAUUUAUUUCUUUUGUUUUGUAAUUAUAACACCCGAACAACCUGUUUGUGAUGUUGAGACAAUUUACUACACAAGGCAGUUUUACUUUUAUGCUA